CAGCACCAGAGGGCCUUCUUGGCCACGCCCUCUCCGGCCCUUGGCGCUUUCCGCCAUUUUCAGCGCCAGAGGGCCUUCUCGGCCACGCCUUCUCCUGCAGGCGGCACCUCCGUCCCUUCCGCCAUCUUCAGCGCCAGAGGGUCUUUUCUGCCGCCCUCCCUGGUGGUGUUCCUGCUAUCUUCAGCGCCAGAGGACCUGCUCGGCCAGGCCAGGCCCUCCCCUGCUGGCGCUGCUGCACCGCUGCCGCCAUCCUCAGCACCAGAAAGGUGUACCAAGGCUCUCAGUAUCCCACGCCACAGCUUCCUACUGAGGAAGUAUACUAGGUGGGAGUGAGAAGAUGUGACAUUGUCAGAGGCGUUAAAGAUGGAUUCUCAUCGAGUCUUUUUAAGGUAAGGGUAAUGAUAAAAUUCAUAUAUUGAAUGUUGAGUAUGUGUCAGACAUGCCAA
rnacentral:lncRNA from 1 species